rnacentral:rRNA from 1 species
GGGGUAACGGCCUACCAAGUCGACGAUAGUAGCCGGACUGAGAGGUUGAACGGCCACAUUGGGAACUGAGAUACGGCCCAGACUCCUACGGGAGGCAGCAGUCGGGAAUAUUGCGCAAUGGAGGAAACUCUGACGCAGUGACGCCGCGUAUAGGAAGAAGGUUUUCGGAUUGUAAACUAUUGUCGUUAGGGAAGAUACAAGACAGUACCUAAGGAGGAAGCUCCGGCUAACUACGUGCCAGCAGCCGCGGUAAUACGUAAGGAGCAAGCGUUAUCCGGAUUUAUUGGGUGUAAAGGGUGCGUAGACGGGAAAGCAAGUUAGUUGUGAAAUCCCUCGGCUUAACUGAGGAACUGCAACUAAAACUACUUUUCUUGAGUGUUGGAGAGGAAAGUGGAAUUCCUAGUGUAGCGGUGAAAUGCGUAGAUAUUAGGAGGAACACCGGUGGCGAAGGCGACUUUCUGGACAAUAACUGACGUUGAGGCACGAAAGUGUGGGGAGCAAACAGGAUUAGAUACCCUGGUAGUCCACACCGUAAACGAUGGAUACUAGGUGUAGGGAACAUUAAGUUUUCUGUGCCGUCGCAAACGCAAUAAGUAUCCCACCUGGGGAGUA